UACGAAGGGGGCUAGCGUUGCUCGGAAUCACUGGGCGUAAAGGGUGCGUAGGCGGGUCUUUAAGUCAGGGGUGAAAUCCUGGAGCUCAACUCCAGAACUGCCUUUGAUACUGGCAAUCUCGAGUCCGGGAGAGGUGAGUGGAACUGCGAGUGUAGAGGUGAAAUUCGUAGAUAUUCGCAAGAACACCAGUGGCGAAGGCGGCUCACUGGCCCGAUACUGACGCUGAGGCACGAAAGCGUGGGGAGCAAACAGG
rnacentral:rRNA from 1 species